GAUCUUCGGCAAUGGGCGCAAGCCUGACCGAGCGACGCCGCGUGUGCGAUGAAGGCCUUCGGGUUGUAAAGCACUGUCGAGGGGGAGAAAAGCCCGCAAGGGUCUGAUCUAUCCCUGGAGGAAGCACGGGCUAAGUUCGUGCCAGCAGCCGCGGUAAGACGAACCGUGCGAACGUUGUUCGGAUUCACUGGGCUUAAAGGGCGCGUAGGCGGACGAUCAAGUCGGGGGUGAAAUCUUUCAGCUUAACUGGAAAAGUGCCUCCGAUACUGGUGGUCUCGAGGGAGGUAGGGGCAUGUGGAACUUCCGGUGGAGCGGUGAAAUGCGUAGAUAUCGGAAGGAACGCCGGUGGCGAAAGCGACGUGCUGGACCUCUUCUGACGCUGAGGCGCGAAAGCUAGGGGAGCAA
rnacentral:rRNA from 1 species